rnacentral:rRNA from 1 species
GACUGCUUUUGUUUAUAGACAGCAGGACGGUGGCCAUGUAAGUCGGCAUCCGCUAAGGAGUGUGUAACAACUCACCUGCCGAAUCCACUAGCCCUGAAAAUGGAUGGCGCU